rnacentral:rRNA from 1 species
AGAAAAUUUUCAACGGUGGAUAUCUAGGUUCCCGUGACGAUGAAGAACGCAGCGAAAUGCGAUACGCAAUGCGAAUUGCAGAACACGCGAGUCAUCAGAUCUUUGAACGCAAUUGGUGGGGGUGUAAAAACCUUCAUGUUCGUUUCAGUGUGGAA